rnacentral:tRNA from 1 species
GGGGCUUUAGCUCAGUGGUAGAGCACUUGCCUAGCAAGCGCAAGGCCCUGGGUUCGGUUCCCAGCUCCG